AUAAGUUUGUCGGAAGCCGAUACAAGAAGCACCAACAAUCGAUGCGCGUUAUUCCUGCAUGAACCAUCGACCUCUUUCCGGUGGAAAAUUCACCAUUUAUCAGUUCCUGAUGUAUCAUCUUUCAAAGCUGUGAGCAAAGGAUCACGGAAGCAACGAUUGGCUUGAAGGGACUGUUUUGGAAACAACAGCUUUUUAUGUGGAAAAACCGCCGUUGAUAUUGAUUUAUUUAAG